rnacentral:rRNA from 1 species
AGAGCGAACGCUGGCGGCAUGCCUAACACAUGCAAGUCGCGCGGGCAGUAAUGUCAGCGGCGGACGGGUGCGUAACGCGUAGGAACAUAUCUAGAGGUGGGGGACAACCCUGGGAAACUGGGGCUAAUACCGCAUAUGUCCUGAGGGACAAAGCAGCGAUGCGCCUUUGGAGUGGCCUGCGUCCGAUUAGCUUGUUGGUGGGGUAAUGGCCUACCAAGGCGUCGAUCGGUAGCUGGUCUGAGAGGACGAUCAGCCACACUGGGACUGAGACACGGCCCAGACUCCUACGGGAGCAGCAGUGGGGAAUAUUGGACAAUGGGCGCAAGCCUGAUCCAGCAAUGCCGCGUGUGUGAAGAAGGUCUUCGGAUUGUAAAGCAACUUUGACAGGACGAUGAUGACGUACCGUAGAAGAAGCCCGGAUAACUUCGUGCCAGCAGCCGC